GUGCUUGCUUUGGUAGCACAUCUAUUAAUACUAGAAUAAUACAGAGAUCAUUGAGACACCUGUGCAAGGAUGAGAUGCAAAUUCAUGAAGCAUUCUAUAUGAAA